rnacentral:rRNA from 1 species
GAUGAACGCUGGCGGCGUGCUUAACACAUGCAAGUCGAACGAGAAGUGAAGACGGCAACCUUCGGGCGGAAGGCUUUAUUUCGAGUGGCGGACGGGUGAGUAACGCGUGGGUAACCUGCCUCAUACAGGGGGAUAACAGUUGGAAACGACUGUUAAUACCGCAUAAGACCACAGCACCGCAUGGUGCGGGGGUAAAAACUCCGGUGGUAUGAGAUGGACCCGCGUUCGAUUCGCCAGGUGGCGGGGUAACGGCCCACCAAAGCGACGAUCGAUAGCCGAUCUGAGAGGAUGACCGGCCACAUUGGUACUGAGACACGGCCCAAACUCCUGCGGGAGGCAGCAGUGGGGAAUAUUGCACAAUGGGGGAAACCCGGAUGCAGCGACGCCGCGUGAGUGAAGAAGUAUUUCGGUAUGUAAAGCUCUAUCAGCAGGGAAGAAAAUGACGGUACCUUAGGAAGAAGCCCCGGCUAACUACGUG